rnacentral:rRNA from 1 species
AGAGUUUGAUCCUGGCUCAGGACGAACGCUGGCGGCGUGCUUAACACAUGCAAGUCGAGCGAUGAAGUCCCUUCGGGGACGGAUUAGCGGCGGACGGGUGAGUAACACGUGGGUAACCUGCCUCAUAGAGGGGAAUAGCCUUCCGAAAGGAAGAUUAAUACCGCAUAAGAUUGUAGUUUCGCAUGAAGAACUAAUUAAAGGAGCAAUCCGCUUUGAGAUGGACCCGCGGCGCAUUAGCUAGUUGGUGAGGUAACGGCUCACCAAGGCGACGAUGUGUAGCCGACCUGAGAGGGUGAUCGGCCACAUUGGAACUGAGACACGGUCCAGACUCCUACGGGAGGCAGCAGUGGGGAAUAUUGCACAAUGGGCGAAAGCCUGAUGCAGCAACGCCGCGUGAGUGAUGAAGGCCUUCGGGUUGUAAAGCUCUGUCUUUGGGGACGAUAAUGACGGUACCCAAGGAGGAAGCCACGGCUAACUACGUGCCAGCAGCCGCGGUAAUACGUAGGUGGCGAGCGUUGUCCGGAUUUACUGGGCGUAAAGGAUGCGUAGGCGGAUAUUUAAGUGAGAUGUGAAAUACCCGGGCUUAACUUGGGUGCUGCAUUUCAAACUGGAUAUCUAGAGUGCGGGAGAGGAGAAUGGAAUUCCUAGUGUAGCGGUGAAAUGCGUAGAGAUUAGGAAGAACACCAGUGGCGAAGGCGACUCUCUGGACCGUAACUGACGCUGAGGCAUGAAAGCGUGGGGAGCAAACAGGAUUAGAUACCCUGGUAGUCCACGCCGUAAACUAUGGGUACUAGGUGUGG